rnacentral:rRNA from 1 species
UACAGAGGUCCCGAGCGUUGUUCGGAUUCACUGGGCGUAAAGGGUGCGUAGGUGGUGAGGUAAGUCGGAUGUGAAAUCUCCGAGCUCAACUCGGAAAUGGCAUUGGAAACUACCUUGCUUGAGGGUUGGAGGGGGGACUGGAAUACUUGGUGUAGCAGUGAAAUGCGUAGAGAUCCGGAGGAACACCAAAGGCGAAGGCAGUGUCCUGGGGAGUACCUGACGCUCAGGUGCGAAAGCCAGGGGAGCGGAACGGG